rnacentral:lncRNA from 1 species
UUUUUUUUUUUUUUUUUUUUUUUAUAAUUUUAAACAUUUCUUUUCUUCUAUAAAUAUGGUGAAGUUCUUUCAAUUCUUCACUUCAUUUGCAAUAUUUCAUUCUUCAAUAUUUUUCAAUAUUUCCUUCAAUAUAUUUCUCAGUAUCUCAUUCAAUAUUUCCUUCAACAUAUUUUCCAAUAUUUCCUUCAUCUAUAAUAUUUGUUUCAAUUUUUCAAUAAUUUCCUUCAAUAUUUUUUUCAAUAAUUUCCUUCAAUAUUUCCUUCAUUUUUUUCAAAAAAAAUGGCCUCAUCUGCAAUGAAAGGUAGGUCUUGGACCCGAAAAGAAGAUGAAGCUCUUUGCAAGGCUUAUAGAUGGGUCUCAGAAGAUAGUGUGAGGGGGAUUUCUCAAACAAGUGAAGGUGUUUGGACUCGUGUGUCCAAAAAAUACUUAGAGUUCUAUGAAGGCACCAUUCCACUCGAACCACAAAAGUUGUUUUUCAAGAUGGAAGAAACAUCUUCAUCCAAGUUUGAAUAAAUGGCAUCAAGCACUAUUAGCAGCAGCAAGUAGACAUGAAAGCGGCGCCAAUUACUAUGACGAAGUUAGUGUUUUCACAGUUUAUUUUAAAUGUUUAAUUAUAUUACAUUUAAUUUUUGUAAUUAUAUGUCAUUAUAUUACAUUUAAUUUCAUGAAUUAAUUUCCUAAAAUUUUUGUAAUUAUAUUUUCUAGGUACGCCAAGCGGAGGAAUUGUAUAUGGAGGGUAGCUCAAAACCCUUUCAGUUUCACGGUUGUUGGGAAAUUUGUAAAGGGUGGGUGUUAUUUGAAAAUCCACCUCAACAUAGAGUGGAUCCUUUGGGAGCUGCAUCCUCAUCUGUAGAUAUGAAUGAAGAUGGAUCUCCUACUAUUCAACAAACAAGGGUAGAAAAUCCGACUCCGUCCGAAAGUUCUUUACUUAGGGCUAUGAGACGAAACAAGGCCCAAAGGUUGAGGGAAAAGGGUAAGGCAAAUGCUGAUUACGCCGCUCAACAUGAAGUGGUGGCCUCAUUGCGAUUACUGGCGGAGCAAAACGCCCUUGAGGCGGAAGAAAGGAAGUGUAGACAUGAAGAACGGGCCAAACAAAUACAAGAAGAGAUGGAUGAUAAGAAUAUGGAAAUGAACACUUUGAAUUACACUCCAAUGAGUAAGGCCUAUUUUGAUAGGAAAAAAAAAGAAAUUAUGUCUCGGCGGCAAUUGUUUACCUCUAACUAUACUCCUACAAUGGCGGAUGAUGAAGAUGAUGUUGAUUAUGGAUAUUAAAUUUAAGUCGUUGUAAUUUUUAAAUUUAAGUUAAUGUUGUUUUAAAUUUAAUUUGUAGUUUUUAAAAUUAAUUUUUAGUUUUUAAAUAUAAGUUGUUGUUUUUAAAUAUAAGUGUGAACACGGAAAAUUCCUGAAACGAAUGAGACAAGAACAACGUGCACAAACAAAUAUUUGUAUUUGAUGAUUUUGGGUUCCAAUCUCUCUCUAAUUUGAUCCUCUGAUUCGAUCUCCGUAAGGUGUUGAUUCGUGGAUGUUUCGUUGAUCCAAGGCGCGUCGAGGCUUGAUCUUGGAUGAACAGUUGGAAGUUUCUUGGCAGGGCCGUGGGCUUGAUCUUUGAAGGUGGAUUUGAGCGGAUCUUCAAGGGGCUUUUGGGCUUGAUCUUGAAGAACAGUGAUGAAUGGAUCUUCAAGGGCUUUUGGGCUUGAUCUUGAAGGACGGUUGGAUGUGUGGAUUUGUCGACGUUUGUUGAUCCAAAGGGCCGUUGGGGCUUGAUCUUGGAAGAACGAUGAACGAAGAACACUUUCUUCAAGGGCCGUCGGGGCUUGAUCUUGAAGGUGGAUGAUUGUUGAUCCAAAGGGCCGUUGGGGCUUGAUCUUGGAUGAACGGAUGAUGAACGAUGGUGCUUUCUUCAAGGGCCGUCGGGGCUUGAUCUUGAGAGAGCGAUGGACGAAGAACGAAGAGAGCUUUCUUGAUUCUUCGGGAACCUGGAUGCUUGAGAGCUUCGGAGUUUCAGAGCUUCAGAGCUUCAAGGUGUAAUAUGAAUUGGUUCCCCUAAAUGAAUGAAAUGGGCUUGUAUUUAUAGAAUUUUCCAAUGCCUAAUUUUGAAUAUAAUAUCCCAGAUGAAAUAAGUCGUUUCUGCCAGGUGUUGACACGUGUCCUAUUUGAUGACUUUUCCAACUCAUUUCAAUUUUCGUUGAGUCACACGCUACGUGUAAAAUUUAUGUAAUACAUGAGCGUUGACACUUUGAUUUAUCGGUCAAUAUUUAUUUACGAAAUUUCGAUGUCUACAAUAAGUUGUUGUAGUUUUUAAAUUUAAAUAAUAAAUUAUGUUUGGCCCUAUGGCCCUCGGUUGGAGACGGUUUUUUGUGACAGGGCUAAAACGAGCCCUCUGGCCCUCUAGCCCUCGGUUGGAGACGGAGGCAAAUAUGACCAUGUACUGUUCAUUAAAAUAUUAAUAUCUUGGGAAAUCUUGGAGGACCAGAGGGCUAAAACGAGCCCUUUGGCCAGCCCUUGGUUAGAGAUGGCCUAAGAGAAUAUAUAAAGAAAGGAUAAGCUAGAAUUAUUUUCCACAAGGUAUCAUGUUAUUAUUAUUAUACAUCAUGUACCAACUGCAGGAAUGUAAUUCUUUUAUCUCCAUCCAAUAUGCUCUCUCCUAGUCCCAUGAUUCUUUUUUUCUGUUUUAUCCUCCAAUACUGUCACUUUUACGUCCAUAAUCAUAUGCUUCUGUUUUAAGAUAGCAAGAUGCUAUAUUCUUGGACAUGGUAUUAUAUGUGCUUUCUAGACAAAAAGCUAUUCCUUUCAUUUUAACUUUUUUGGAUUGCCUAAUUAUUUUAACUUAAUUCAACGCAAAUUCGCAAAUGGUGAAUCGUCCUAGUUAUGGAUGCAAAUUUCCGCCUUUUUUUUGGGACAAAAUUGCACCUACAAAACAAUCAAUACCUUAGGUUAAGGUCAAGAGUCUCACACGCCCACGAUGAAUUUUGGGGGGGUGGGCUUUAGCUGAAGAACUUCCGAUGCUAAAGUUAGAAUUUGAGGGAAAAAUAUUUAGAGAAAUUUGGAGAAUUUAGUAAGAGAGUUGGACUUAGGUUUUUGGAGAAAUGAUGUGGUAUUUAUAGGGGUGUGGCCGGCCCCUUGGGGAGAUUUGAUGAGGAUGGAUGAAGUAGGUUUUGAAUAAAUAUCUAUUUUGAUCACUUUUGACCUUGAUUGAGUCAUGAUUAUCCGCUGCUUGCACGUAGGAGCUUCGAUAUGCCUUGAGGGUAAUUUUGUCUUUUUCACCCCCCAAGAAUCCACGUGUCGCAUCCAUAUUUUUCUCGAUUAUUUUUUGUUCCACAAAUGCCCCCACACCUAAUGGGCUACUUGUAGGAAAUGGCAACAGGUGUAGAGAUCUUCUUGCUUUAGGAAACAUAUGAUUGUUUCCUAUUUUGAUGUAGAUUCCCUCUUUAAUUGGAAAUUAGAUCAUUCUAGGAAAGGAAAAUAAAUUUCUCCCAAAGUCUAUUUAAGUCUACCUUAAGUAGAUCAUUAAAUCAACUUUGGAGAGUGAUUUAUUCUACCCUAUAAGAGAGAGAAAGUUAGAGGAUAUUUGUUCCCCCACCCCUAGCAAUCUUCUACACUUGCCUGUGCGAAGGCAUGUCUUUCGUUGCUUUCUUCGUAUUCAUGUCGCGCCAAGGUAAGAAAAAAUUAAUUUUCCUUGUCUUCGUAAUUUUUGGGAGCCUCGGGCUUGAAAUUUGGCUCGUAAAGGGUCGAUGAUGUGCAAAAGUCGGUGGGAGGAGGCCACAGUAGGGCUGUCGUGGGUGGCUGGUCUUCGUUGGUCCUGGUACGGUGGUGUGGGUCGAGGAGGCUCGGGCCUCCUUUUUUUUUUUUUUUUGCUACAAGGCUUGGGCCCGUGCUUGAAAGGAGGUAUGGUGGGCUGCGGGCCACUGGGCUUGGCCCACUUGAACUAUCUUAGGCCGAGAUCUGCUGGGCUUGGUCUUACUAGGCUAAGGCGUGCGUUGGGGGGCCUGUCCCCUUACUACUAUCUUGGGUCGAGAAGCCAGGCUUGCCGAGAGAAUUUUUUUUUUCAAGCCAUCAUCUAACGAAUUUUCUUCGCGUCUUUGUAGAAUUUCUUCAAGCAUGUCUUCCUCAGGCCACAAGAGUGAUGAUGGUGUGUCGUCAUUUUAUUGUCAAGGUAAUUCUUUAAGCAAUGUAGGCUACUUUAAGGUUGCUCACUUCAAAAUUGGCUCCGAUGACUUGUUCAAGGACUUUCUCAACGCAUAUAGGCAUGCCAUUCCAUCAGGGGUGCAAGUGAAGCGCGUCAAGAAUGGUAGCAGUGAGCCAUAUAGUGGGGCUUAGAGAGCCAUCAAGUUCCACAUUUUCUAUUUUGUAUUGGGAUUUACUUUUCUCAUGCCACGUUUUUUCCAAGAAGUGCUCUACUCCAUGAAGUGUGCCCUUAUUUAAUGCUCUUCAAAUGCGAUCCGUUUGAUGGUAGGAUUUCUCAAUCUAAGCUAAUUCUUUGACUUAGAUUUAACCAUCAACGAAUUUUUGUACUUUUUUGACAUAAGCCACAUCGAGGAAGUUGGGUAGCUGCGAUCCCGCCAUAAAUUCUUUUAUCAUUCGAGCAAGGGAGAUCAUGACUCGGCCAAAGAGACUUCAGAGAUAAGUGGAGAAUGGGAGUCUGAUUCUUCCCCCGAGUUGCGUGUUCCAACGGUCUUCAUAUCAGGUAAGUAGGUUGUUUAAUCUCUUGAUUGCUUUGUAUUUGUGCUAAGCUGCUCUCUAAUUUUCUAAUUGUCUCAUGCUACUUUUAUAGAUUCAGAAUUUGGCUCAACUCAUAAAGCUUCUCUGGACAUGAAGAAAGUGUAUGUCGCUCUGGGUAUCCUUUUCAAUUACCAUGAGUGGUGUUGGCUGCUUAGUUAUCUUCGUUGGGAAAAAGAUGGGCUGCCCCCAAGAGAAGAGAUAAAACAGAUCAAGGCGGAGGCAUUAGCCCGUUCGAUCGUCGUUGUGGAGCCUGUUGUAAGUGAAGGUGGGAAAAAGAGACAUUCCCCGCCUGCUCAAGAGAUAUCGCUUGAGAAAAAGCCAAAGACUUCUUUCGCUGCUCAUGAGGGUUCGCUGGCUGCCCCCAAGCUUAUUAUUGACUUGACUUCUCCCAAGGGUGAGAAUGAUAAGGUUGCUAGAUCUGUGCCAGUGACGCCUACCAUUCUAAAGGUGGCUAGUUCGAUUGCUGAUAGGAUUGCUCAGCGUAGAAGUACCACCAUGCCCCCAGUGCCAAAAUUUAUGUCAAAAUAUCUGUUUGGGGUUACGUCUGGAUCACAUUUGGAGAGGCUUGCUAUUAUGAAGAGUGACAAGGUGCCUUUGCCUGCUAAAGUGGCACAAAAACCCGUUCCCUCUGUUGCUGAGACCCAUUCGUCUGCUGAGAAGAAGGAUACUGUUCGUGCGGGCAGUUGUGAAAAAUCCAUCAAUUUUGUUUCUAGGGAAGCUGCUGAGAUUUGUGCGUUUUUCAGACCAAAUCUGCUCGAGGACAUGGAUGUGUGUACCAAGUUUGUUGAUGGUGUUAUAUGGGUUGUUGGCAUGAGUUCUUUUGCUAAGCAUACAACCGAGUAUAGGAGGACCGCUCUGCUGGCUAUGAUAUAGAAAACGACGAUUCUAGCAGUCGAGUCUAUAUUCCUUGAUUAAGAGGAUACCAAGGAGAUGGCAAAAAAUGUGGUAGCUGAAGCUUACUCCUCGGCUGAGAAAGUCAAGAAGUUAGAAUCUAACCUUGCUGUUUCAAAGGGGUCUAAUAUCUCUGCCCCCAUCUCUACAACUUGAGACCACUCGUUAAGAGAUCGUGGAUUUGAAGACUAGGUUUGAUGCGAUCCAAGUAAAGUAUGAAAGUGCAUAGAAGGAGAUCAGGUGUUACAUAAGUGCAGAUAAGAAGAUCGGGUGUUACAUACCUCAUAUUCAAGGCCUUGAGCGUACCGUCUCUGAGCUCUGCUCUGCUGUUUACACAAAGGAUGAAGAACUGAUCGCUGCUUACAACCAAGUGAUCCACUUCAAGAAUGUUGUUGAUAAGCUUAAGCCUUAUGUGUUGGAACUCCAAGGUGUUUUGAAGAUCAGUGACAGUUUGAAGAAGGAAGUGGAGGAGUUGUAGUGGGUCCGUGCUUGUCUGCUCGAGGAAAAUGAGUAGUUGAAGGGUGAGAAGGCUGGGUUUGACGCUUCGAUUACUCAGAGUCAAGCUGGGUUAUGUAAACCAUCUCUUUGGGCGGCCAUCUAACUUUGAGUUUUUUGGUAAAGAUUUCGAGACCUUUUCUAUUUCUCCAGAAGACUUGGUCGCCUUUACUUUUGAGGCUUCUAUUGGUGAAGCAGUCGGAGAUGAUGGUGUCUAUGCUGAGGCAGCUGGGGGUGAAGCGAUAUACGGUGCCGUUGCUGAGAGCGUCGCGGCUACUGAAGGUGUGGCGAACGAGUAGUUGUGAGAUGUCCAAGCUGCAGAAAAUUAGUCUUCUAGGUACCCUUUAAGAUUUUCUUUGUUUUCCUUGUUGCUUUUUUCUUUGCUUAAACUCAUUCGGUCUUUGCUAGUCGUUUAUUAAUUUUGCUAGAAAAUUUAAUAAACUUGCUUCAUUCGUUUUUUUCCAUUUUCGCUUCUUUUGUUCAUGCCUUAACCUUUAGACUUUAUAGACCAGUGGUGGGCGUGCUACUUUUCUAUAAGCAGACAAGCCCGCGUAGCCUAUGUAGCCAUAGGUGUUGGUGUAGAACUUUGCAAAGUUGUUAGCCAUAGGGUUGGCAGCCAAAUGCCUUACUUACAGAAACAGAGUUCAUGUAACCAUUAAGCUAUUAACCUUGGCUUUCUCCAAUUCUGUAGGUUGCGUAGCAAGUAUCACAACACUUUAGGACUUGGUGUAGAUUGUUCUGCGCUUUGGCAGAAAUGAAGCUCAUCGACUGCGUAGCAUGUCGGUAAUGGAUGAAGUUUUUUAUACGCGCGCUAACUUGUUUAACCUCUCACAUAAACGUGCGGCUGUAUAAGUUUAGUGUGGCGUACAACUCGAAGGGCAAGCCGUAGGCAGUUUUCUGGAAACCGUAUGCUACUUUAGUGCAUUCGAUAGAAACUUUAGGGUUCCAGGGCAGCCGUCCAUAGGGCGUACUGUGUAAUGCACCUCAUCCGUCUCUAGGGCCCGGUUCCCUGCGGAUUAGGCCAAGAGACCUAAAAUCCUUCAAUUAGCUAAGCCUUGAAAAAGAUGAUUGUGGUUACUUCUAGGAAUCUCGACGCAAGCCAUCAUGCAUAUAGUUAUACUAGGGCAACCCGGCUCAUCCACGUCUGGAUAUUCAGAGUGUAGAGUUUAUCCUUCCGAUUUGGUGAGCAAACCCAUGUGGGUGUCGCGGAAUUGGUUUACCCUUUCGUACUGGAGAGCAUGGUUGGUCCCUCAAGGGGUGUAAUUCCUGAGAUGAGUCUCUAAGAAGGGUGCGGUCUUCUUUUGAAAUGUAGGAGUGAUCAAUUGUUGUAGACAUGUAGUCGAGCAAAGUUGUAAAUUACUUCUGAAUUCCUCAUUAAAAAACAAGUGAAACGAACAAAAACUUAACUGUAAAGUAGAGACUGCAUAACAACUAGAUAGUCAUCGGCUCGCGAGGUGGUGCCCGUUGAGCUGCUUCAGUUCUUCGGGCUUUGAUGUAGUGAGAGGUCAUACAUGGUACUUCCUUAGAUUGUAGGCGUUCCACUACUUUUCGAUCUCUUUGUUGUUCAUGGUGGUAAGGGUGUAAUUACCCUUGCCGCCUACUCUACUAAUCUUGUACGGACCUUCCCAAAUGUGAUCCAUCUUUUUGGAACCUUCUCUGCAAGUAGUGAUGAAGGCUUUUCUUAGGGCUAGAUCUCUGAGUUGGAACUACCAGAUCUUGGCCCUUUUGUUGUAGCUAGAGAAGAGCUGUUGCUGGUAGGCUGCGAUGUGGGUGAUGGUCUGCUCGCGCUUCUCUUCUUCCAGAUCUAAGCUUGUGGCCAUCUCUUUACUGUUUUGCUCAACGUUUGGCAGUAGAGUGCUAAUACUUAGUACGAUGACAUUGGGAUGAAUGAUUGCUUCUGACCCAAAUGCCAAAGAGAAAUGAGUAUCACCAAUUGCUUGUCUUUUGGUGGUGCGAUAUGCCUAUAGACAUUCAGGGAGAUCGUCUGGCCAUUUUCCCUUCUUGUCGGUGUGGGACUUCUUGAGGCAAUUGAGGAUCGUCUUGUUGGAUGCUUCAGCCUACCCAUUCCCUUGAGGAUAUCUCUGUGUGGACAUAUGCUGCUUAAUGUCAUACUUUUGGAAGAACUUCGCCAAAUCUUUGCCCACGAAUUACGGGCCGUUGUCGGUAACGAUGGAUUGAGGAAUGCCAAAUCGGCAAAUGAUAUUCCUCCAUAUGAAGCGCUUUAUAUCCGUCUGAGUCAUGGUUGUCAUGGGCUCUGCUUCUACCCAUUUAGUGAAGUAAUCGAUUACCACGAUCAUCAUGCCUCUGCCCUUAAUAGCGGGUGGCAUUGGCCUUACCAAGUUGAUUGUCCAUUGCAUGAACGGCCAGGGACUUGUUUGUGGGUGUAGUUCGCUGGUAGGCAGUGUUGGUACCGGCUUGUAGCGUUGGUAACGGUCGUACUUUUGCACUAACACCUUAGUGUUUUAAUGCAUGGUAGGCCAGUAGUAGCCUGCGUUAAGAGCUUUAUGUGCUAAGGAUCGGCCUUCGGAGUGAUUUCCAAAAACGCCUUCGUGGAUUGAGCUUAGUUUCUUUAGGUCGUCGGGAGGCACUAGGCAGCGAAGAUAUGGUCCGGUGUAGGAUCUUCGGACAAGAAUGUCGUUCUACAUGUAGUAGCGUGUUACCUUUAUUUGGAGCUUUCCAGACUCCAACCUUUCUGUGGGAAAUGUGCCAUUGACUAGGUAGUUUAUAAUAGAACUGUGCCAGUUGGAAGUUAUACUAACUUGUGACACUUUGGCUGCCGGCUCUGCCUCUAUGCUUGGCUUGUCUAGAUACUCCACCGGAAUAGAGUGUUUGAGUUGGAUUUAAAUUGUCUUCCAUCUCUUAGUAUAAAUUAGUGUAAAAGGUAAAGAUGAAUUACUUGUUAAGUAAACUUUUUUUCCCCUUAAAAAUGGACUAAUUGGUGGCUGCUCCAUUGCAGUCCAUCCUUUUGGGGGAGGAGAAGACUCACAGAGGUAUUUCAGUCUCUUUUUGACCACCAUCGUGUGAUUCACCAAGAUCAGAAAUCGAACCCAAUAUAUGCUGUGUGAAAUACAUUUAUGUUAUAUCUAAUAUUUUCAAAAUAAUAAUUCACUUUUAUCGUGAAUAACUUAAAAAAAUAAAUUAUUCAUUUGAAUCCAAUCCAAAUUAAGAAAAAUGCCUAAGAAAGAUCACUUCCAUGAUUAUUUCUUGCGAUUUAAAUUUUUAAAAGAUGACAUUAUGCAUGACUAACUAUUAAUUUGAUGUCGAAUAUGUACAAACUAAUGGGUCACAUAAGCUGCAUUCAUACUAGGCUUUUCAGUCAAAAUAGUCCUUAAGAUUUGCAUAACUCUUCACUUUGAUCUUUGAGAUUUAAAAUCAAUAGAAGUAGUCUCUGAGUUUGUUCACCAUCAAUCAUUUUGGUCAUUCCAUGAAAAAUCUCUAUUAAAUAAGGCUAAAAUGACAAAAAUACUCUAAUUUUUGUCAAAUCAUUUGGCCAAUUGUUUAUUAAAUUGAGGGGUUUUUAUGUCAUUUUGGUCUUUAUUUAAUAUAAUUUUUCAUGAAAUGACCAAAAUAAUUGAUGGUGGACAAACUCAUGCACCACUUUGAUGUCAAGAUAACGUCACCUUCACAAAAACCCUACUCAUAUAGGCAUAAGAUUAUUGUGAUCAACAGCUGGAUCCAAGGGAUCGACUAUCAUACUAAUGUAAACCAUAUGAAUCAAAGAACGUAGGGAAAAAGAAAGUGGGGCCAAAAGUGUUGAAGUUUAGGGUGGAGUGAAGCCAAAAUAUGUAGCUUCCCAAAGCUAGAAAAGAUCGAAUAUCAUGCAUGCUUAAUGGAACUACUUUGGACUCCUUUGCAACCAAAGCAAGUGUCUCGGAAUCUUCUCACCCUCAAACAAACACAUAAAAGACAAGCUUUUAGUGGAGGACAGCGAUAUGAAAACCCUACUAUAUAAUCCAAAUCGUCCUGUUCCUUGUUCUUCGAGCAGAAGUAACGCACUAUUAUUAAGUUCUCAACUAGCUAGUUUUCCAGUACGAGUUUUUGCAGACCUGUAGUCCCAUGCACUUGAAACUGUGUAGUUUUGAAGGCCUAUAACUUGUGGAAAUGGGGCACAUUCUUUCACGAAUAUAGCUAUUUGUACUAGUAGAUGAGGACUUGAGGAGUGCAUUAUGUCCCACACUUGCAAUAGUUGCUAUGUGUGAUGAGUGUAAAUGAUAAAUAUAUACCUGUAAAAGAAAGAUAUACAAGACAAUAAUUAUUUGGUUUUUAAUUUUACUUUUUGGAUUGGAAAUACGAGUAAAAUAUAUAAGAGAACAAAUACAGAUGAAAGAAUGAAAACAAAAUUUAGAACGUGAAAACAAUUUAAAACGAUUUUUAUUUUUAGUUUUCAUUUUGUUUGUCUUUCAUUCCUCUACGUUUUUAGUUCACUCAUUUCUCUCAUGUCUUUAUCCUCUAAAGUCAAACGAGCCUUAAUUUUUACAAUAGAGUAUUUAUUUUUUAUUUGGCCAAUAGUUAUGUCAUGUUGUUUAAACUACGGUAGUUAAAUGUCGAAGAUAUAUGUCUGUAAUUUAAAUGAUUAAGACCAUUUACCUCUAAACAUGAUAUAAAAAGAUCAAUAUUCUAAUCCACGCGAAAUUAGUUCAUGUGAAGAAAACUAAAAAGACUCAUAUACAUAGAUAACAAAUUAACAUAACAUUAUCAACUAUUAAACUUAAACAAAUUCAAAUAAUUGCCUUGAAUUGGUCUUUUGAUGCUCGACUUGAAAAUCUAUAUUUUUUUGUCAAAUACAAGUAUGUAGAUCAUAUCUUGCCACAUCAAAUACACCUAAGGAAAACGAGUUUUCCUCGUCAUCGAUUACCAACUUGUUCUCUUGGUAGAAGGAUUCUCAAUGGGCAAAUCGAGGAAGAACAUAAGCACCCAUAGCCAUAUAUAGGCAUACAUAUCAGUAUAUGUCACCUUGACUGGACCAGCUCACGAGAACCUGAUGAUCAGGACCACUAAUUAAAACUUUGAUUAUUAUUAUUAUUAGUUUUAUUUAUUUGAUUUUGCUUGAGGACCAUUGAGUUAGGUUUUGGAUAAUGAUGAUAAUUUGUUGGGAUUGGUCAAUGGUCCCCUGGCAACAAGCUAAUCUUAGUAGAAUGAUGAUGACAAUUCAAGCUGUUCCCCUUCUUGGGGUCUUCCUUCCCACUUGUGUAGUUUGUACAUGUGUUUUAAUUAAGUAAUAAAUCAGGAUUAAUUUUGUAUUGACUCAAUUUUAGGUGAACUUGUCUCCUUUACAUUUUACAUUGUAUAUUUAACAUCAAUCAUAAUUUCCCACACUAUUUUUUGUACCAUAAGUACAGUGUUGGUGAGCCUGUCACACGUACCAUUGUAUAUUUAACAUGUCACUGUUUACUAGAAGGAAACUUCACUCUAUUUUCUUUUAGUUAAGGUAAUAUUAUUAUAAGUUCUCACUCGGUUUUGGCAUCGGUGUUGUUUGAUUGAAUUUUGGUUUCAGUUUUUGCAGCUUUAACAUAUAAUUUAAUUUUUUAGCCAUUUCAGGACAAUAAUGUGUAAAAUUUAAAUGAUAUGCGAAAUGAAUGACUGAAGUUGAAAAAAAUAUAUAAUUUAACAAUUUUUUACAUUAAUUUAAUGAUUAUAACAUUUUUAAUACUGAGCACUACGUGAAUUGAAGUGACACCUAUAAAUUAAUCAAACAAAAUAAGACAUUAUAAUAUUUGCAACUUGUAUAAUUGCAAGGCUUAUCAGUCGAAUGCCCCCUAAAAAUGUCAUUGAGUCUCAGUUUACCCUCUGAAACUAGUUUUGUCUCAUUUUGCCCCUUAACCUGAUUUUUUCAACUCUUUUGUCUCAUUUUACCCACUUCAACUCUUUUGUCCCAUUUUACCCACUUCAACUCUUUUAGACAUUUCAUUUUUUACACAUGUAUUUACUUCCAGCCUACACACUAAACAAGUCUCAAUUUUAUUUUUGAAACUCUAAUUCAAACCCAUAAAUUUUGGACAUCUUCAAAAAUAAAUUAUUCAGUCAAUAGAAAAUUUUCGAGCAACAAAAUCAUUGUAUCAACCAAAAUAAGGGUUACAUUUUGUUCGUAGAGUCAUUUCACUUGCAAGACAUCCAUGUAUUGGCUCGAAACUUUGCAAUUGAAAAAAUAUUCAUUACAACAAAAUCAUUAUAUCAUUAAGCUAUCAUAUCCAAAAUACUUCACAAACCAAAAAAAAUCAUUUAAAGCAAAUGUGCACAAUUUGAAACAAAAAAAUGUCACAUUGUUGAAUUCUUGGGUUUGAAUUAGAGUUGAAACUGUUGAAUUUAUGAGUUUGAAUUAGAGUUUCAAAAAUAAAAUUGAGACUUGUUUAAUGUGUAGGCUAGAAGUAAAUAAAUGUGUAAAGAAUGUAAUGUCUAAAAUACUCUUAAAUUCAACAGUCCAUUAACAGAAGUGGGUAAAGUGAGACAAAAGAGUUGAAAAUGUCAAUUUUAGAUGGCAAAGUAAGACAAAACCAAUUUCAGGAGAUUAACUGAGACUCAAUGAUGGACUAAUAAGCCUAAUUGCAAACCUUACGUAUACCUACACCAGAGGAAGCCAAGAAAUUUCAACCCAUUCCUUUCGUGUUCAAGGAAAGCCUACUAGAUCCAAAUGGACUAAGCACAUCGCAACAGCUGUAUCCCUGUACUAACGUACAAAACAUCCCAUGUAAAAAUGGCAGCUCUCCCUCUCUCUACUUCUGCUAACUUCUCUGCCCUUGUUACUACUCACACGCAGACACAACGCUCACUGUCGUGGCCAAUUCUUCUGAUAAGCUGCUAACAAAAACCUUACAAUUAUAUAUAUAUGGAUACAUCGCGGUGUUAUUACAGAUCCAAACAAUAUGGCAAACAAAAAGCACACCCCACGAACGAGGCCAAGAGAUAAUAAGAACGAGACCCAUGACAUAUCAUUGUCUAGCUGUACUAUAUUCAUCAUGAUGCAGGCAUGGUUUUUGGACGUUCUAGACAUGCCAAUGUUGUAAAUAUAUAUUCCGUUCACACUCUUUACUAUUAUUUUUUAACGUUUUAUAUCAACAUCUUAUAUGUUAGUCAUUUUAAUACGUCAUAUCGUCCUAUAUUCAACAUGAUGCAUCCAUAGUUUUUGGAUGUUGUACACAUGGCAAUUUCAGUAAUUUACUGUUCACAAUCUUUAAUAUCAUUUUCUAACGUUUAUCAUCAACAUCUUAUAUGUCAGUCGGUUUAACACGUUAUAUCGUAGGUUUGACAUUGUCAAAAACUAAAAUUUAAGCUUUUUACUAGUCCAAACUCUUAGGAGGGCACGAUGAAUAAUGCAUAGUGACUUUUCAGGGUUUGCCAGCAUCUCUGCAGAUAAUAUUAUUUUGCCAUGCAAUCUAACACGUUAUGUUAGAUUGUCAAUCUGAAAAGAUCAAAACAUAAACAAAAAGUAUACAACGCAGAAUGUGCCCGGCUAAUGACCUUUUAGGGUUGUCAACAUGUUUCGAAUACAAGUAUAUAACUAUUCUCUUGCCACACAUCUAACAUCUAACAUGUUAUAUUUUUACACAAUCAAUCUUACGAAACCGAGAUAUGUCCUUAUCCUCGAAAAGUUUUGAUCAAUCAAAAGAAAAGUGUGAUAAAUCCCUCAUAAAUAACACACAUACAUUGCAUGAUGACUAAUUAUAAUGACGACGUGCUAGUUCUACUACCACAGCUGUAAAGAAUUUUCGUUCCUUCAAAUCUAAUUAACCAAAUACCGCGUUGUUUAAUUAAUUAGCAGCCUGCAUGCAUGGUCCCUAUAUAUAUAUAACUGAACCUCGUGAAGAAUAUAAUUAAUCGAGAUUAAGCUGCCAAAUUGCCAGUUAAUCUACACAUUUUCCUCCUCAUCCUCCGUCUCUUUCCUUCCUAGUUCGUACCGAUUCCGCGUAAAAGUGACUUAUUGUAAAAGCACCUUCUUUAUAUCCGUCAACACAGUGACUUAAACACACAGAUAAAGUAGUUGACAUCAAAUAUCUUUAUACCAUCCAUGCACACAAACCCCAUCACGGAAAUAUCUAAUAUUUUCAACAGUCAACCCCAAACCAAAGUCAAAAAAGUGACCGGCCUCUUGUUAAUUAUCUGGGACCAGAUCCUCUCCUGAUCUAAGAAUGAGGAUCCUCCUCAUCAAGAUAUGUAGGCCGUUGGAUGAAAAUUCAACGGUUACAAUUAUUAUAACUUUAAAAGGAUUCCCUGUUUGUAACUGUUAGAUUUUCAUCCAACGGCCUACACUGAUUAAUGAGGAAGAUCCUCAUCCUUAGCUCAGGAGAGGAUCGUGGUCCAAUUAUCUGAACACCAUUGCCACUUGCUUCUUAUCUCUCCUUUGGUGGUCUUCUACUACCAAGCUUUUCAACUCACAAAGUAAUUGCUCUACUAAUAUCUAAUAAAGUACCCAAAAUACCCCAAAAUAAUGGAUCAUUAAUCAUCUAUCAUUGUAAUCUUUUCAAUGAGUUUUAACGAAACACUUCCAGUAUUGUUUAUUUUUAACAAAAAAAUUAUAUUUUUACUUUUUUAACUUUAUUUUGGUGUCCAAAAUUUUGGACACCAAAAUAAAGUUAAAAAAGUAAAAAUAUAAUUUUUUUUGUCAUUUUUCAUUUUUGUCAUUUUUUUGUCAUUUUUCAUUUUUAUUUUUGUCAUUUUUUUGUCAUUUUACAUUGAUGACUAUUUACUAUACAUUUCUUUGUCAUUUUUUAUUAAAAUUAAAUUUUUUUUUAACUUUUCAUUAGUUUUCCUAUCUUUUUAGUGUUACAUCAAUGUGAUGGAAAUUGGGGUCGGAUAUUAAGACAGGAUAAAAAACCGACGUCGUGACACUGAAGUUUAUAGUGCGUGUGAAAGAUAUGAGCUACAGAAGUAAGAAUACUUUGGAAUUAUGAUCUACUUUGACGAAGGGUUCAGUGAAUAUAUAAAGAUGAAAUACCGUUUUAGGAAAGUUGCAACUUCCCCCAAGACAUAAUCAUUCAUAUAUUUUGAAUUAAUUAAUUAAUUAACUAAAUAAAUAAAUAUAUCAUUUACUUUAAUAAUUAAUUAACUUAUUUUCCCUUUGGUUAUGUGUCUAUGGAUACACCAGUGUUAAGUGUACAUUCACAUAUAAUUACACACAUUGUAAAAAUUAUUUUAUCAUAAUCAUAUUCGAAUUAAAUCUUAGAUUUGCGUCUAAAACUACUUGGUUUCAACUUUUGCUAGAAUUAUUAUCUUUCUUACAUGAAUUCUAUAUACUAAGUUCAAACCCAAAGCAUUAACCUUAAACUUGAAUCGCAGAUUUUAUUUGUAUUGCAAAUGUAAUUUGGAUAAGAAAUGCAACUAAGUAAAAAUCAAGAGGGUAAUAGAUCCAAAAAAAUGUCCGAUAGUUUCUCAAAUCAUGCACGAACAUCACCUAUGUGUAAAGCAAGAUGAGUAAGAUAAGUAACACUUUUAACGAGUCGAGUGUAACCAAAUAUUACUCUACUCGAAUUUAACUUUUUUUAGUACAAAUUGAUUUGGCUUUCUUCUUGUACGAGCAUAUGCUGUUCAAUUCUCCCAAAGACAUGGUAUAAAGUUAUUUUAAUCAUCAUCAAUUAAAUUAUUUUAAGUACACUUUUGGUUCCUACAAACAAAGAAGUACCCUUUUGGUUUUUGCUUUUGUCUACACCCCUUUUAGGGUUUUUUUUUUCACCACAGACCAGCUAAUGGCUUCAUAACGGUAAUUCACUAUUUUUAGACUCAAAAAGCUCACAGACAUUUAACUUCUCCUAACCACAAUCAUAUGAUUCAUUAACGCUCGCAAUUGAACCUCGAACGUGCUAUGUGAAAUAUAGAUCUAAAAUUCGUCCUCAACUAGUCUACACUCCGUGAUUGUUACUUUUUAGUUAUUUUGAUUUGCAACAUUAUUUUUUAAUAGCACAUUAAUUAUUUGAGAUAACCAUCUAAAUAAACUAAUAUUUGGUUGAGAUAGCUAUCUAAUUAUUUAAUAUUUGGUGAAGUGUAACGUACGCAGAGUUCCAAAAAUUAACUUAAUUAAGUAUAUGCAUCUGUUCUGUCAAAUUUAAAUUUUGGACACCAAAAUACUCGUUUUUAUGGGGAACAUUUUGUUUGUUUGUUUUUUUUUUUUUUUAAUUCAAUUUUCUCAAAACCAUCAGGGUAAAAUUGUAACACCACCCCAAAAUGGUUAGGGGACAAACAAAUUAAACUCCUAAACAAAAUUAAGCAAAUCUAGCCACCCACUAAUCACAUCCAAAUCGUUACAAUCUAUUUACACAAUUACCCAUCUUAUUUCCCAAACUACCCCUACUCCGGAAUUGCACUCAACUCCGCCGCAAACCGUCCAUUUCCACCACUAUCCCUCCGCCUCCUCGACCCCCCACUGGCCACCACUCUCCGGCGAUCCUUCACCUCCACGCCGGAAAAUAUCAGUGGAGACACCGAAUUCCGGCGACAUCCACAUUUUUCGCCGCCACUCUUCAUAAGCGCGGAGCUGGCUUUUACGGCCAAUGCGGCCAUCUCCUCCGCUUGCAGCGGGUGCUUGAGCCAGCUGAGCGGCAAGGCAAAGUAGAGCUGUCCCGGCUGGAGCACCUCGUUAUCACUGACGGCCUGAAGGACGUCGUCGAAGUCCAUCUCGUCGGAGUUGCAGAUGAAGCAAGUGGGGUUCUUUUGGAGCACGUAGGAAACCUUUACCGGGUACGGGAAUUCUUGUAAAUUUCCGUCCUGUAGAAUCAGCUUGGCGGUGGCCACUUGGGUCGACCCGGACGAGCUGCAAAUACCCAUUUGGGUCGAAAUCGGAUCGUUGGAAAAUGGCUGAGAAUUUGAGGUGUGUCUUUUUAGAGAUAGAAAUUAGAGAGAGGGCAUGAGAUAUUUGGUGGAGGAGGGAGAAGCACGGAGGGUGUAGAGAAGAAAGAGAGUCAAUAUAUAGAGAGAAAAUGAGGUGGUGGGGCCUCGUAAUUUGAACCUGGAUACCACGUAGGAUAUUUGUCGUUUAGCUAAGCAUUGUUUUUUUUUUUAUCAGUGGGCUUUGGCCACAGCCAGGCUGUAAGUUGGUGGUGGUGACAGGUUGUAAUCGAUUUUCUGAGAGUUUUUUUUUUAAUUUUUUUUUUUUUUUGUCAAAUAUUUUCUGGGAGUUUAGAAUUGGGAUUAACUUGCGGUUAAAGCACCUGCCGCCACUGACUCGGGCUUUUAGUCUUGGCUUUUGGGGUAAUUUACGAGGAGGAGAAUUUUUUUUUAACAUAUAUGACUUACUGGUUAAUUUCAAAUCUUAAAUCGACCAUUGUUAUUCGAAGUUGAGGAGGUAAUUUUGUGAUUUGUGUGCUUGGCAAGGAUUAUGCAGAAGAGGUUUGACGUUUGUUGGAGGUAACUCAUAACAAGAUUUUUUGCAUGUGAUUGCAAGCUAUGAAUGAAUGAUGUGUUCUUUCUUUCGUGGGGUCUUUUCAGCGCUUUGAGGGAUUCACAAUCAUGUUUUCUUGUCAUUGCAAACUCUUCGGCGAUGGUAUGAUAGUUACCUUGUGUGUCUUGACAGUGUUAUGUUUGAUGACUCAUAGGGCUUAGGCCUUGUGAGUUUAUCUUUCAUGUGAUCGAGGAAUCAUACAUUGAAGAGUUUAUUUUGUACUGUGUUGUGAUUUUGUUGUCUGUUCGCUUAGCAAAAGACUAUAGGAACAUCUUCGAGAUGUCUCAUACCAAGGCUUCUUGCCGAAUAAGCGUUGUCUUUUACAAGUUCAUCAUCAACACAUGGUGUAAGGUUUUAUCUUCGUAAGAGUUACCUUUCCGUUUGGUUAGAUGGGUUUAUGUGGAGUAAGUUUUAAUUUUCUUUCUGUUGCGUUUAUAAACAUAAAAUUGUAUUAAGAAAGUGUGAUGUUCUUUGUUUUAUUUGAUCAAUGAAAGACUUAUCACUUCUAAAAAAAAGAAAGGAAUUGGGGUCCUUAGUUAAAUUGCCCUCUUGGUUGUAUAAAAUUACAAGGGUAGGGACUAGGGUUGGUCAUGAGAUUAGCACAGUUUCUAUAAGUAGAGAGUGAUGUCAAAAGGAUGCUUGUAAAAGGGGGAAGAACUGCUAAACUUGGCAAGCCAUUUCAUGGAUAAUGGGAUUAUGGGAAUGGGAGACCCACCUAAGCAUGAUCAUGAUCAUGAUGGUACUACUAUUUUAUAUCAACCCCUUUUUCUGGGGGGUGCUAAUAUUAAUAUAUGGUUCCAAUUAUAUUUUCCACUUCCCCCUUGUGUUUGUUGUGGGAGAUUUAUUUACUAUUUAUUUUGUUUGUUUUCUGAAUAUAAUGGGUCCACCAAUUGAUUUUGUAACUAAUUAAUUAGUAUUUAAUCUCAAUUUUUAUCAUGAUUAAUCAUGAAACAGAUAGAAGUUUGCUUUUUAAAGAAUAAAAUGUAGAGAGUAUCAUGGAUUUGAUUUGCUAUGGAAUUAAAACCAGAACACAGAAAUGUGAAAACCAUUAACCAUUGGAAGAAGGCAUAUAUAAAAAAAGAAUGUUUAAAAGCAAAUCCUGGAAGCCACGCAGUACUACUAUCUGGUGCUAUUCAUCUUCACUUGUAAGUGAGAGAUCUUAGGUUCGAAUCUUGUGAAUGAUGAAUUCGAUACCAAAUUAGGUUGCCUAUUGUGUGGUUUAGCCGAACUCUCCCUCCCCUAGUAUGAAAUAUAUCGGUGUACCAAAAAACAAAGAAAAAAAAAAGCAAAUCCUGGAAUAAUUUGGACUUACCAAAGAUGUUAGGAACUUAACCUUCCUUAGCCUUGAAGGUUUUGGUCACUUAUGCUUAAACUUUAGGGGUCUUUUAGAUGUUAGAUUAGACUUUAAGAGGUAUACGGCCCUAUAUAUGCUAAUGUGCUACCUUUGGAUGGAUUCCACUAGGUAAAAGGAACUCUGAGUACUUUUUUAAAUGGAAUAAAAAGUCACAAAAUGCUUCUCCUUACAAAGUUACCCCUGGAAAGAACACAGAAAAGCUGAAAAAUAGCAUGCAGAUAUUUGUGAAGAUAAGUAUUAGAGCGAAGAUAAGAACUACGUUUUUUUUUUCCUUUUCAUUUCUGACAUAUCUUGCGUUUACUAAUAUACUAAUAUGAAAAUAACAAAUAUUUAAUACGACAAAGAAUAUUUUUCUUCAUUUAUAAUAAAAUUUUAUAUCCGCCUAAUUCUAUAAAUAAUAUGUUUGGCUCAUUAACCCUAGAAACGCAUACAUAAAACCAAAAGUAAGAAGAGUCCGAAUUUUUUAUUCUAAUUGCGACCCCCAAAAAACCAAACGAAAUCUGUCACAUACAAUUCACAUUGCUAAAACUCCAAUUGUUGGACACAGAUUUUUCACAUGCAUGAAAGGGUUCAUGUCACUCAAGCAUCUCCACUCCCCAGACAAAAUCUGCAGGUGAAUUGUAAUUUAUGGGGGACAAGGAUACUUUCGAGAUUCUUUUUGUAGGGAUUCGAUGAUCAAUUAAUUUUGUUCGUUUAUUUUAUAUUAUACGAUCAAUUUUUAUUAGGUAUUAAUUAUAUUUAAUUUUAAAUUAAAAUUAUUUUGUGGGGAUUCGAUGAUCAAUUAAUUUUGUUCGUUUAUUUUAUAUCAUAUGGUUAAUUUUUAUUAGGUAUUAAUUAUAUUUAAUUUUAUAUUAAAAUUUUUAAAUAAUUUCUAAUUAUAUGUUGUACGAUAAACAAAUACUAUUAAUUGAUCAUUCAAAUCUCUCACAAAGAAUAUCAGAAGGGAUCCUAUUCCAUUUAGGGGGAGAGAGAUGGGGUAAAUUUCAGAGACAACAAAAUGUGAAUAAUUGGGACCAGAAGAGAGUGGGUGGCUGAUGAACUUGCAACGUUUUCUUUGCACUUUUGGCACUUUGCAGGCACAUUGUUCAAAAUUUGGCCCAACUCCAAGGGCAGGGAAAAUUCCAACGAACAAAUAAGAAGAAAAAUAUAAAAUUGGAAUGCAUGAAUGAAGAGAAAUGGAAACGUGGCAGGGUGCGGGAGGAGGUGGUGCGUCGCUACAGUGCACGAGAGAAGGCACGUGGAAAAGAGUAGCCAUGAAAACUGCAACAAGCAAGCUAUAAUUAAGGAUGGAAAAAAAUUCUCAAAAAUUCCGAACCAAAUUGAAAAAAUAUCGAUCCCAAACCGAUUUUCCUAAAAUUUUCGGGAUGCUAUCCUGAAAAAAUACCGAAAUUUCGGUACAAAAAUCGGGAUUGUCUUCCCAAUAAUGAAAAAAUCAUGUUACUUUAUUUUUCAUCCCUGCAACAUAAAGAUAUGAAUGAUUAUGAUAUGUGUUAUGUGUUAUUCUAUUUCAUUGAUAGGAAUCACUUUUAUUGGAAGUAACACAAACACCAGUGUCAAAGUUGUUGAAGAAAGUAAAGAACAUAAACACCAUAAGUGUAAUGAGUAUUUGACAAAAUCACAAAAAGGUAUGUAACUUUUGUAAUAGGUUUGCCUUCUAGUGUAUUCUUAAAUGGUAAAACAACUCCGUUCUAUAGGUUAUAAACUUAUAAAUGCAUCUCAAUACCAAAAAAAAAGAUAUCAUAUAAAACUUAUCCGCGGUUGCACUGGUGGUUGUUUAAGAGUUUAAUGUUGUCUACCGAUAUCGUUUGAUCAAUUCAUGCAUUAUUCCUUCUACCUCCUCAACUUCAUGCCAUGUAACUCAUCGGGAGUAUGAAGUUGAAACUAGUAAUGGAAGAACAAUCACAAAACGAAGGAAAACAAGAAGCACAGUAAUGUUUGAAGUAUGUACCUGAUUAUUUCAGUGAAAAUAUAACAGCUAUGGGAAUUGGGAAUACAGAAUCACCAAAAGCCCAAAAAUAUUUCGGGAUUCCCGAUUGUUCCGAAAUACCGAAACUAUUUUGGGAUUUCCGAAAUUUUGGUUUGAGAUCGAUCUUGAAAUUAAGAAUACCGAAAAUUUCAGUUUGGGAAUUGUCUCUAAGAUUUUAGUUCGGUAUCCCAUACCGAACCACCCCUAGCUAUAACUAAUAAGUAGAUAAUAUAAUGACGUUAAAAUGGUACAUACAAUAUAUAUAUGUUAUUGCAAGGUAUUGAAUCAAGUAUCCGACAAGACAAGCGAUGGCGUAAGCUGACGUGGGUUUGCUGGUUUGAUCCCCGACUGCGCCUGCAAUCUGCAUGCUCACCCAUGCAUCCCGGCGCAAUGCAGCCCUCCUCUCUUUUAACUUAUUUAAUCGCUUCCAAAGUCCGCCGCCCUUUCCUGCUUCCCCGGCGACUCUUAUCAUCCUGCAAUCCACAAACCUCCUCUCUUUUAACUACAAUUCUUGUAUAUGUUUAUUAGUGUUGUUGUGCCACUAUCACUUAAUUACUAUCACUACGUAUGUAUGAUAACUAGGAUGUUGUCUUGUAUUCAUUGUCUUUCUUCUUACGUUGUCGGACUAUGAAUCUAAAUUAUAUAUGCAUCAUAUUAAAGUUAGAUAAUUUAACAACAUAACAUGUUAAAUUCAACAACAAUAUGUCAUCAAUAUCCCUUUUAUUGAAUCUAAAAUAUUCAUUGAGUGGACAUUUAUUUGAAUGUGUAUAUCCAUAUAAAUACUACGACAAUACAAUAUUAUCAUUCAUUGAAUUGGUGAAUCUAAAUUGUUCAUAAGUUUGAAGAUUAUUUGAAUAGUUUGCAUGGAAGUAAAUAAUUCAGAUUUACAUACAUAAUUUAACAGCAUAGCAUGUCAAAUCCUGCAUCAACAUACAUUAUCAUCAAUUAAGCAUGUUAUAUGAAUCCAUUGGCAUUGAAUUUCAUGGACAUUGUUACAACUUACAUCAAUACUUUGACUAGAGGAAUGUAAUUGUAAAAAAUUUCACAUUUUGGAUUUUUAGAGGGUUAAACUUCAAAGUGUGGUUGGAGGAGAGAUUUGAGUUUUUUAAUUUGCUUGUAUGACAAAUGAUAUAAACACAUCCAAAUCCACACUUAAUUUCAACACAUUCUUAAACAAAAGACAAGAAAACAGGAAAUCCAGGAUUUCUUCCAUUUUGGCAUGCAUGCUCAUGUUCUAUUGGAAGAGAGAGAGAGAGAGAGAGAAUGAUCACCAAUUAUGGAUCAUGCACCUACUGGCAAAUAAAUGAAAUAAUAUAUUGAUUUUUUAGUCAAAAUAGUAUCUGAGAUUGAUGUAAUUCUUCAGUUUAGUCCUUAAUGAUGAAAAUCGAUUGAAGUGGGUCAUGUGUUUGUUCAUCGUAAAUUAUUUUAGUAUUUUGUUAAAUUUUCUAUUAGUACGAUGACGUGGGACAUGAGUAGUCUCAAGGACCAUUAAGUAUGAAACUGUCAGCAAAGGGCUCAAACCCUGACAAUACCACACAGGCAAUGGAGUUCGUGAAUUGUGAUGGUCUUUGUUAAUUGUUUUUUAUACAUGUUAAUGUCUUACAUUUUAGAAAAAAAGAGCUACCCACUUGGCCCCCUUGUAUGCUUAAUUAAAUUUAAUAAACCCAAAACCGCUAAAACCCCAUAGUUUGUCAGAAAGAUUACUAACUAAUUGUUUAGGUUUUGAUUAUAAUUAUUAUAAUUAUCAACCUUACUUUAUGGGCCUUAAUUAUUAAAAUGUCCCACAUCAAUUCCCUAACCCUUCUUUCCUUGAAGCUUCUUAGUGUUCUUCUGCACCUCUCCCAGUCGCCCACCAAAAACAGUCGUGCAUGUAUCCCUCUUAAAAUAAGUGCUUCAAUCAUGCACUUUUUGACCCCAAAAAAUAUGUCUAACACCCAAUGCCUUUGUGUUUUUUAAUCAUUUAGUUAAUUUUUUAAAAGAAACAAUAUUUUGUGUUUUUAAUCAUUUGUCAUUAAAAAACUUAAUUAUUUUGACAAAUGACCUUUUUCUGUUCCUUUCUCACCACCAUCUCCCUUUCAAAUCUUUGCUGGCCUUUUUGUCUGUUUAUGAGUUCAUGUUGGAAACAUAUGUUGUUUUGGGCUCUGCUUUCAUUUGGGCUAAGGCCUAGAUGUAUAUAUAAAUACAAGUACUCUUUACGUAAGACGUCCGUUCUUUAUUAAAGAAAAAAUACGGUUACGGUGUUACUGACACAUUACCGACUCCCCGUUCUCUAACCUGUGCUUCAUAGCCGGACUAUAUGUAAAGAAAGAAUAUAUUCAGAUUCUUUGUAUUUCGAUAAAGAACGGACCUCCGUUCGUUCAACAUAUAAAAGAAAGAAUAUAUUCAGAUUCGGGAUCAAUUUUCUAAUAAGAAAUUAUUAUUUUGAAUGAGUUAUGAGAUUUGCAUUCUUUUAUUUCUGGUUUGGACUUUAUUUUCUUCUGUUCGGUAAAUUAAUUGAAUUUUGAGCAGAGAUGUUGGCAACACAAACAAUGAACCCCACCAACCGGAUAAAAGCAAAUCCUACUCAAUUAUGUGUGGAUUAUGAAUUCAGACAAAACCCUGGAAAAGAAUCCGAUCUAACUAAUACUUAAACCCUAGUUGUUAGAUUUGAACAUUUUUAAAGGUUGGACAACAUAUCGCUUUAGCAUUAUUUUUAUCAGUGCAGAUUGCAGAAAGUUGAUAAAAAAAAAAGUAGGGUAACGUCAUUACCAUGAAAGUUCUUGAUGCAGAGCACUCUAUCCAUGCAUGGCUGUCAGGGCCCCACCUCUCUUUAGCUCCUUAAGAUUUGGAAAGACUCGAGCUUUGGUCAAAUAGGUUCUGCAAUCUGCAUAAUCAAAGAAUACAAAGAAUGCAGUACUAAAUAAUUGAACAGAUUUUCAACAAAUACAAAGAAUUUGUGUCCCCUACUCGUCCUAUGAAUUCAACAGGAUGAUUGAGAUCAUUAAAAAUAUAGAAGAAAUGAGAUACCUUAGAUUGGAUGUGGCUUUCCUUCUUCUUUCCUUGCAAGAUUGGAUCUUGGGUUUUGGCUUUUUGUUGAACUGCAGCAAAAGGAAUGGAUAAUGCCCCUUAAUCCAAAAAUAUUUCAGUAAAUCAACACACAAUCGGAUAGAAUAAAAAGGAACAAAAUAUUACUGUUAAUACUUCAUAGUAGUCCCUACAUCCGAUUCAAUGAAACUUGUAUGGAAGUUUUAGUUGUUCCCAUCCGUAUAUAUAUGCCUAUUAGCUGCAGUUUGACAUGAAGUUCUGAAGACAUGAAAAGGAAAACAGAUUAUUAUUCUCAAGAAAAAAAUACAGAAAGAAAUGGCCAUAGCUGGUUAAAAACUUACCCAGAAAACAAGGCGACCUGCAUGUUCGAUGUGCAUCCUUGAUCCUUCCAAGUUUCAUUACUCCCUAACAGUUCGUACAGUAGUAUUUUUUAUGGAUUUUCAUUGUACUUUUUCCAAUUUUCGAACUCGCCAAGUAACCUAUUAGCAACGACCAUGAUGCAUCAGUCGGUAUUAGGUUCUCUCUGCCUGGUUGACAUGCUCUCGAACUAGAGAGAAGUCUGAAUCCAGGUGCUCAAGCUUUGUUUCGCACACUUAAUCAAGGCCCCUGAAAGGAGGAAACCUUUUGGUAGAAGACAUUUCUACUUGCUAUGUGAUCAUAUGGUGUAUAUCCUACUUCAAGUUGCAGUAAAUUUCAUGUUAGCUAUAAUUUCAAUGAUAAUCAUAUGCUGUAUAUCCUACUUAAAUCAACUAAAAUUUCAAUGAUACUUUUAGUUUCAUAUUAUCAGUUGCAAGUUACGUUCUUGGCACCUUUACCUUUCACACACUCAACUUUAGAACUCAAAGGAGUAAGUUUCCAGUUCUAUUGCCUAAUACCUUGUCAAAGUAAGUAACCAAAAAUUAGAUCAACACUUGUAACGUUGGUCUGAUGGUGCUAAUGACUUGACAUUUAAACAAACCUUUACCUUCAAUUCCAAAAGCAAAGUAGUUAUUUUUAAUUAAGGUGAGUUUCUCCCGACUGGGUUUGGCAUGGAAAACAGAAGCAGGCAUUGGCUACUUGCAAGUCACUUCAUAUAAAAACAAUUAAAAGUAUAUAUAAUUAUCAGAGUGUAACGGUUCUAACUUACAGAUACAGCAGAACUACGAUUCUUCUAUAUCCAAAAUCGCACUUGGAGCAUACCCAGUACGCCUCAGAUGAUCUGUUAACUGAUCAAGCAUGGAGUAUAUACUGCUUGAAGUUUCAUGUCUCUUGUCAUCAACCAUAAAUUCGUAAACACGGCCAUCAAUUUCGAUCGAGCUCACUGCUCUACUCUUUAUGGAUCCACCGUCUUUUAUUAGUUUCCUGAUGUUCUUAACAUCCUCCCAUCUGUGCGCUUCACCAAAUAUGUUUGCUAGAAGUACAUAAAGUCCAGAACCAUGCAGUUCCAACUCCAACAGCUGCUUUAGAAUCAGCUUUCCCAAAUCCACAUUUCCAUGGAUCCGACAAGCACCAAGUAAAGCACCCCAAAUGACAACAUCAGGCUUCAUUGGCAUUCCUCUUACCAGCCUCAUUGCUUCUUCUAAAAGUCCCGCUCGCCCCAGCAGAUCUACCAUGCAAGCAUAGUGCUCAAUUUCAGGUGAUAUUCUGUAAGUAGACUUCAUUUUUUCAAAGUAAUGUCUCCCUAAGUCUAGAAGACCACUGUGACUGCAAGCAGAAAGAAGUCCGAUGAAGGUGAUCUCAUCCGGCCAGAUUCUACCUGCUUGCAUCUGUUCGAAUAUCCCGAUUGAUUCUGAUCCGCGACCGUGCAAUGCAAGGGCCCCGAUAAUGAUGUUCCAUGAUACUACAUUCUUUUCUGGUAUCAGAAUAAAGAUGUCCAUGGCAAUUUCAACAGCACCACAUUUUGCAUACAUGUCCAUAAGGGAAUUAAAAAGGGUUACACUGGGUGCAAUAUUGCUGUUGCAAAUGUAAUUAUGGGUUUUCCUUCCAAUGACCAAAUCGCCAAUUUGACUGCAGGAUGAAAGGACAGAAACCAAGGUAGCCUCAUCAGGCACCACACUCGAAUUAAGCAUUUUCUGGAAUAGAUCCAAAGCCACCCUGCACUGGCCUUCCCGUACAUAAUAUGAGAUCAUUGAAUUCCAAGAAACCACAUUUUUAUGUGGCAUCUGGUUGAAAAACUCCUGGGCAAAUUCAAUGAGCCCAUGUUUAGUGUAUGCUCUAACCAUUGACGUCCAGGAAACCACAUUUUUGUGAGUCAUUUGAUCAAAAAUCUUUCGUGCCAAGUGCAAAUGCCCACACUUGGCAUACAUAUCCAGAAGAGCAUUUCUCACAAUUUGGUCAAUUUCAAUCCCACUAACCUCAAUAAAAAGAUGCACAUAUCUUCCCAACUCCAAAUCACAAGCUUGUGAACAAACAGAGAGUAAAUUAACCAAAGUAAACUUAUCAGGCUCAACCCCCAGAUCUCUCAUCUCCCUAAACAACAACAGAGCCUCCUUGCACGAACCCAUUCUAGCAUAGCCACCGAUCAUUGAAUUCCAUGAAACCAGACUCCUCUCAGACAUAUCAUCAAACACAUUCUGAGCACACCGGAUCAACCCCCGAACACUAUAGACAGUAAUAAGGGCAUUUUGCACGCAAACUUGAGACUCAAUUCCUAGUUUAAUAGCCUGGCCAUGAACAGCCACGGCUUCCCAAUAUGCGGACUGUCCCACGCAAACCUUGAGCACAAAGGGCAACGUGAACUCGUUUGGUGAAAGACCUGAACCAACCAUUUGGCAGUAGAGUGAAAAGGCCUUAAAUGGGUCAUUACUAUUUGAGUAACCCCUUAUAAGACUAUUGUACAUAAACUUAUUUGGCUCAGGAAUUUGGUCGAACACAAGCUGGGCGUAGCGGAGAUUUCUGGGAUCGGAGACGGAGCAGAAGGAUAUGAGUUUUCCGAGGGUGAGGUUUUCGCUUGUGAGGCUGUGGAGGAUGAUUAGGGCGUGGAGCUGUUUGAGUUCUCUCAUGGAGGAGCAUUGCUCAAGGAGGAGAUGCAGGGUUUGGUGAGUGGAGUUUUUGAAUUCGUGGGCGAAAUUGGUGGGCUUUGGAGGGAGAGUGGGGUGUAGAGAGUGAAAGAAGCGGGAAGCAACGGUCGGAUUUUUGGGAGUAAAGAACAUGGCCGUUGGAAUUUUGGUUUGGAGGCAAAUGUAACGGUAUUAUGAAUUAUAAAGAUACCUUGUUUUUUGUUUGGGAAAUGUUAUUAGCACUCCAAAAAUCACAUUCUACACUCCUCAUAAGUGUAUUUUUCUUUCUAAUUAUAGAAAGUUUGGAGUUCAAAAUGAAAUUUUUGGAAUGCCAACAACAAUUCCCUUUUAUUUGGGUUGAAAAAUAUCAUAUUGCAAAAACAACUAGCGUUUAAUUUGUAUGGAAGAUCUCCAAACGAAUCAUUGUGCAAGCUUAAUUUGAACCCCUCUUCACUAAAAUGGACAUCGCCUAAAAAACAAAGCCAUAUUAUUAAUUUUUAUUUGAAUGUAUGAUUUAGAUUGACAGUCUAAUAAGAGAAAGUACAACCCACAAUGGUGCCAUUCAUAAUGUUAGUGUUAUAUGUUCUAAACCAAAUGACCCAUAUGUAAAGUUGUUGAAUUAUCGGAUAGACGGCCCAAAGAUCCACUUCCAACAACAUUGAUAUUGUCAUCAACUUGGUAAUUACCACAUACACAAUCUGUCAAGUGUGGGGUUUUAUCAUAAAAGACCUCGGUAUUAGUUGGAGUGGAGUUAAGAUAUUUAAACUCUUCUUUUUACAGAGAUACAGUCGAUGUGGGAUAUUUCAACGCCCCCUCACGUGAGACUCAAUUAGUGGGUCACACGUAAGAGAUUCACACAUCGGCGACCACAUAGAGCCAAGACAACUCACCCUACACGCGGGGCCAAGGGACUCACCAUCAUGGAGUAUAUUUUAACAUGCCCCCUCACGUGGGAUCAAUUAGUGGGUCACACGUAACGUGGAGCCAAGGGAACUCACCCUACACGCGAGGCCAAGGGACCCACCAUCAUCGUCCCUGGCUCUGAUACCAUGUAAAAUUAUCAGAGAGACGGGUCAAAUGCCCACUUCCAACAACAUCGAUAUUGUUCUCAACUUGUUAAAUAUCACUUGCACAGUCCAACAUGUGUAGGAAUUUAUACAAAAAAAGCUUCAAUAUUAGUUGGAGUAGAGUUAAGAGUAUUAAAAUUUUUAUUUUAACAAAAAUACGGUCGAUGUGAGAUAUUUCAACAAAAACUUCUUGCAAAUAUGGUUACAGGUGUCACUUGCAUUUACAAGUGAUUAGAAAAACAACUUAUUCCUUCUUCAUAAAAUACAACUCAAAAUAACUUUGUAAUAUACAUUUCUCAAAGCUUCAUCUCAGACGACCCUAUUUGUAUCUCCUAAAAGUUUCUGCAUAUGACACCAUUGUUUCAAUUUCGGCGGAGCUCAUUUUCUGUAUAUGACACAACAGCCGGCAAGACUUUUACAAAGAAGGAAGAAGCCAAAGAUUGAAUAGAGAGGAACCUAGUGAAAGAAACCAAGAAAGGAAAGCCAUUGCAGCAGAUAACUGAUAUCUAGUACAUAACUUGGCAGGGCAGUAGGAUCUACCGAGAUGAAGUAGGAGAUAUGUGGUACUAGCCGUUGAGCAAGCUGCAGCGAGUGAGAGAUAUGACAACGCCUGUGAUGAAACGAACAUAAUAUAUUCUUAAGUUGGGAAAACGAAGAAUUUGUUCUUAAUGAGAUAAAUAAGUUUAUAGACAAAAACACAUACCAAGUCUCCUAAAAUAAUUAUUGUAGUUAUUCUUGGUCGACGAGGCAAAUAUCUAAAGAAGACAGAGUAGACAUCCACGAUCAUCAACGUCAUGCUCCAUGGAACUACCAAACCCAUUACUGUCACCAAAUAGCUGCAACGCAAGCAAUGGUAAGAGUUACUACUAUAUAUUAAUAAAAAAGUUCUCGUUGAGCACUUUCAUCUCCUUCAUUUUGCAAACGUGAAAUAACCGAGACAACAUAAAUCUGGUAAUGGCUAUAAUGGACAAUUCAAAUAGCACCAUAGAAUCAUUUCAGUUUACAGAUUAGAACAUGAAGAAACAAACGUUGCAGGAAAAGUGACUUGAAUUUGUUAGGUUUUAGAAGUUGAAAAGUUCUUAACUGUUAAAAUUUCUAGCUCUUCGCCACAAGACUUUUAGAGAUGGUAAUAUUUUACAGGUUCGAGAAGACACCAAUAAGGACAAGUUCAGGGUGAGGUUAUUGAUUGGAAGUACAUUUGGAGCAAUGGAAGCAACACAUACAGUUGAACACAGUAGACUUCUUUGGACAUGUCAUUAGAGCAUAAAUUCUUAAAGACUAAGUCAAUGACCAACAAAAACAGACGUGCAAAAUUAGCUUUGUGAGAAAAAGAAAAAAAGUCAACUAAGAGCAGAUGAUACCACAAUGUUCUACAAUGAGAGUUUACAGAGUCUUUUCAUUUCCAUGAGAGUUUACGCUUAAAAUGUUUGAAGGCUGAAAGAUUUUGCUUCCAAUUCUCUGUUGAGUUUUUGGUUUCGAAUCUAGAUUCACAUCUUACGGGCCAUAAAACCAGUUAAGUCUAUCAAGAAGCGGUUUUGAUGCUCUACAAUGUUCUGAUGACUUCAAAGCUGCUAAAAUUCGAUAGUGAAUUACAGAGUCCUAAACAGUUCAUUCUCUACAAAAAAUUCCAACAUAUUUACUUGCUCAAUUAGGAGAAACUUAGAAACAGUUGCAUAUACUGAAAAUUCUUCAUCAGUAAGCCCAACUAUAUAUUAUUAUAAUCUUUUGCAUGUAUAGAAUAUGUUAAAUUUUAACCAGUUCAAUCUCCAUAUGAUCUUUACAGAAACACAGUUUCCAGUUCUUAACAAAGCCAAAAGUCAAUAUCCAGCCCAAGAAAUCAAAACAGAAUUGCCAUCAAAUUCAGAAACAGAGACAUGGGUAUUGAACAACAAGUCAAAAUCACAAAAGGGUCCGAUGAAAUUCAACUAAGAAACUCCAAAUUCGAAGAAUUCGAAAGUACCAGAAGGCGGUGUAGCUGUAGAACUCGACGUCCAAGCACAUGAAGAGAAGGGAGGCAGUGGAGAAGAUGGUCUGCCCGAAUCGCAGAGCCAAGCUGGCGCUGGUUCCCAACGACCCCGGCAGUUCAUCCAUGCUUGCAAUUGCAUGCAGCAGCAACAACAACAAGAACUCCUCAUGGUAAACGAAAUUCAAGAACAAUUCUUCUCAGCCACAUGACCAAAUAGUUGUGGCAAAAAUGGAGUUCCAAAUAAUUUUGGGGAAAUAUGGGAACUGGGUUUUGAAGGGGGAGAGGAGGACUUGCUUUGGUGGGAAGAAUGGUAAUGGGAAUGUGAAUCGUUGUGGUGAAUUGUCAAGGAAAAGGAGUGUUGGGGAGAAAAGAAAACAAAAGUGAGAGAGACGUAAAGGGUACGCAGAUUUUGGUGGGUUUUUUGGCUUUGGCUUUGGCAUCUCCUCCAUCAUUUGGGCAUAAAUGGUAUAAUGUUCUUAUCGGGUAGGCAGGGAGUGCGGCAUCUUCUCCUUCAUUUCAUCCCGCUUAAUUUAUUAUUAUUAUUAUUAUUAUUAUUAAUUUUAUUAUAAGCGAUAUUAUUACUCCGUUUAUAUUUGUAUUUACAUAGGGUUUAAUUCUAAAUAAGUUUUAAAAAAUAUAAUCAUAGAGAGUGACUAUAUGACACAUAUAUACAAUCACAAUGAUGUUUGUGCACCAAUGAAAUAAAAACAUAUAUAAAUUUUAUUCAUAUAUUCUUAUUUCAUUGGCAUGUGGUGAUGUACCCGUAAUUUCUCAACCAUUAGGGCAAAACCCAAAAAUUAUUAGGUGGAUAAAAAUAGUGUUUUUUCUCUUUUUCUUUUUCCUCAAUAAGGUUCUUUGAAUCAAAGCGUAUAAAGUAAGGGAAUUGGCUUUAAAUUUGCUAUUAUAUGUCUUUGUUUUAUUUUGCAUGAUUAAUUGCCGAGUGUAUUUUAAUACAGGUUGGAUACAAAAGAACCAAAAAGUAGUACAAAGCUCAAAUGAAACUUAACAAACUUCAUUUCUCACUUAACAUGUAUUUGAUCUUCAUGAACACAACCCAGUUGGUUUACGACUUUACUAUCACUUACAAGUGAAAAAAGACGAUAAGUCAAAUAUAAUUAGAUUUCAAACUUAACAGUGAUAUUAUACAUCUUUAUCAUUCAUGUAAGUCAAAAUUUAGACCUCUACUUAUGAGCGACAAAAAAAAUAUUACUAAACCAUUUUUUUUAGGAAUUUUAACGAAAAACUCACGGUACUAUUCACUUUAACCAAAAAUCAUAUUUUUACACUAAAAAGUCAAUCAUGGUACUAUUCACUUUACCUCUUAUUUUGUCUUUAUCAUUAAAAAUCAAAGUUUUUAAACCCUUUUCAUUAGUUUUGCUUUUUUUUUUUAGUUUUUCUUCUUUAUUAUUUUUAAAGUCUAUAUGAAUGUAGCUUUGUCAACAUGUUAUCUUUUACCCAAAUCACAUCAUUUUACUAGUAAUAUUAUAAAAAUUGAGACAAUGUCUAUUGAAGAACUAAUAUUUAAUUAAAUGUUUGAUGCUUUUCAUUUAAACUAAUAUACAAUAAUUUCCCAAAUAUCAUGGUUCAAUGGUCUCUUUCAUAGAGGGUUUAAAUAUUAUUUCAUAUAUGAAUAUAAUAUAAUUACUUUCAAGUUUUGCCAUACAAAACACAGAGAAUUAUAAUCACACAUUUAAAAAAUAAAUAAAUAAAGUUUGACAAUCUUGAAGAGAAUACUACCAAAUGCAUGUCACUCAGUCCAAAUGUCCAAUUUGUGUGGCUCACCAACCACAUAAAAGGAUAUGAGAAAGCAAUUAGCGUAAAAAGAUGAUGUCGAUGAUCAUAAUUUAUUAUAAUCAAUAUUGCUCGUUACUUUUUCACAGCAAAUCGUUGUCUGACGCAUUUAUAAAAGAAACAGUUUUUACGCAUGUCAAAUUUUGACGUAUAAUGAUUUACCGUUAAAGAAGUUUGACUCCUUAAAAGAUAAUGUACAAGAAAGAUAAUACAUACAAGAUAAUAGGCAUGAUAAUAUACAAGAAGAUAAUGAUCUGAGUGAUCUCAGUGCUUGUUGUUCAAUUGGGUUACAAAGAGAGUUGAGCAACACCUUUUUAACUUAUAGCAAAAUCUGAAACCCAGAAUCACCAUUAAUACAUAGAGGAAAACGAAACUAAUCAAGCUGAGCAUACCAAACUCCCUGGAUUUUGACAUCCUUUGGAGUCUUGGCUCCCAAGUCAGUGUCGGAUGGCUGAAGGCUCUCGAACACCCCAAUCAACUCACCAGUCUCAGGCUUGGUCUUUGUCACACUCAGUGUUAUCUUCCCCUUCGAUGCUGCUGUAUUCUUGGUGUUCUCCUUUGCCAGCUCCUCCUCGUCUCCUCUGCCUCCUGCCGGCAGUGCGACCGCAUUGUCAUAACCGGUGGAUCCUCCUCUUCCCUUGGGGUCCAAGAAAGAGGAUCCACGGUAUGAUGGUACUAGAAACUCUCCCGUGAAAUUUUCGGGCUUGCCAGAGGCUACCAGCUGCUUGAUGGUAAAGAGGAAGGGCACGCGCUCGCCUCCCGGGAGCUGGACUGUCACUGCAGCGUAGUCAAUUCCGUCUUUCUCUUCGAACUUGAUGGAGCCAUCUGGAGCAACUUCGAAAGGUCCUUCGAUCUCAUCGAGGGUGUAGGUUAGGCGGGUCAUGAGCUUGGUGUUUUGGAACUCUGGUGGAGCGUUCUUGUUCACACUCUCAGCCUUAACAGUGAAGGAUGUUGGCUCUAGGCAGAACUUCUUGGCACUGUACUUGCCGGGUUUGAAGGCAAAUGCUUCGGAUCCUCCGUCGAUGGUUGGGCAUUGGUUAGCAGUUCCUGUUCCCUUCACUUCCAAGUAGGUCUUGCUCUGGAUUUCGUCGAAGGUCAACCUCUUUGGAGCUCCCUCUGCACCUGCUCCCUGAAACACAAAGUGUUGGCCAAGAAUGACCAAAUGUCAAUCUUACUUAAUAAUAAAAAGGAAUCCGAUGAUCACGUUACCUAAGUUGUUGUCAAACUGUCAGUCUAAAUUGAAAUAGUGAGAUUUAUAUCCAUACUUUAUAAAAUCAAGUGAUGCUGCGUUAUGUUUGAUAGGUUUUCAAUCUCAACUAUUAGAUGAGCAUACGUACAUAUGACAUGCGAUUUAGCUUGUGAUCCAAACAACAUAACAUGUCAUAUAUCUAAAACGAACAUUACUCUCGUCUGGUGAGACGAUCCAAUUCUAACAAAUUAAUGGAGAACAUGUCGAUAUUGCUACACAAUUGCGUAUUCAACUAGUCCAAACUUACCGCCUAACUAUAGUUCAUAUUAACGAGUAAGUACUAGUAAACAUGAAUUCACAAAAGUUCAAAUGCAAACAACUUAGUCAUUGUUCUACUUCUACACCACAAUUUCAAUCACAUGAAGCAAGAAACUAAGGAGUGAAAUGGAAUUAGCAUGUCAUACCGAAACGACGAGAGCGGAAGUAGCAAGAGCAAAUCCAGCAAUCUUGGAUGCAUCAAGGCACUUGUGAGCCAAGUCCUUGAGAUCAGAUUGCAAAGAGCAAGUGAGCCUAGCAGAAGCAGAUGGCUCCAAGCCAAAGGCCUUGGAGACACUCUGAGAGGACCUCAGUUGCACACUGGUCCUCGCCGACACGCCGACCUUGGUCGGCUGCAUGAGCGUAGCAGCUGCUUGGAGGGAGGCUGCCAUGGUUGUGUUCACUAUUUUUUUGUGAUCUCUCACACAAUAAUU